AUGACAAUACCGUUAGGAGAAGGCACACCGCUUGGAGGUUCAUCCCUGCCAGAAGAAGCUGACAUAGUGGCAAUGUCAUCUGGAGAAGAUGAGUUGCUGAAGGCAAUAAAAGGAGCAAACGGCAUGCCGGAGCUGUUCACCCCCUCCAGCGACGGUCGGCUGGCAGCAGUAGCCGUGGACGGCCUUCAGCAUCUGGUGCCUGCCAAUCGUGACAGCAACUGGUCUGAGAAUGUGUCGAAAGAAGCUGGCCGCGUGGUGAUAUCCACAGGAGAAGACAUGCUGCUUGGAAAUUCACGGCUGCUAGAAGAAGCUGAGGGAGUGGCAAUAUCGCCAGGAGACGGCAUGGCCCCUGUACAUUCUCCGCAGACUCAGCAGCAAGAGAUCCUUAUUGACCAUGCUCCACAAACCUCGAUUGAUGAGUUGCUCAAGGUGAUAAAAGGAGCCAAUGGCAUGCCGGUGCUGUUCGUCCCCUCCAGCGACGGGCGCCUUGCAGCAGUAGCUGUGGAUGGCCUUCAGAAUCUUGUGCCUGCCAAUCGCGACAACAAUGGGUCCGGUGAAAAUAGACACCGGGAUUUCCGUGCCUGGCUAUUACUCCUGGCGUCACUGGUUGCCACGGUCACCUUCACCGCAGGACUGACUCCACCCGGCGGCUUCUGGGCUACCGACGACAAGGCAAAUAGAUACGUCGCUGGUACCUCAGUUAUGCGUGACAAAUUUCAGACUAGGUACUAUAUCUUUCACUUUAGCAACACAACCGCCUUCUUCGCAUCCCUGCUGGUCAUUGGAAUGCUAGCCAAAAACAAGGAGGUCACUAUGAUGAACAAUAAAGUUUUCAGAAUCCUGGCUGCAUAUGUUGCACUGAUGGAUACCGUGAACAAGUCAAACAAAAGUGGGUAUGAAUCUCUCCUGAAGAUUUACAGGGAAACUGAUCUGCCAGGAAAAAGUUCUUUGGCAUCGUCCCCUGACCCUGAUGUUGUUCGUGAAGCGCUGAAUUUCCUGCUAUCGUUUGAGGUAAGGAAUCAGGAUUGCAUAUUUGUGCUCCACGGAGUGACUGCAGCAGCGCAUGAGGUGGCAUGGACAUGGUUGAAGGAAAACUGGGACUACAUAGCAGAGACCUUCACUGGACACCUGCUCACCUAUUUCAUCGCCGUCACUGUCUCACCGCUCGCCACAGACGAGAAGGGUGACGAGGCAGAGGAGUUCUUCAAGAGCAGGACCAAGGCGAGCAUCGCGAGGAUGGUGAAGCAGAGCAUCGAGAGGGUGAGGAUCAAGGCCAAGUGGGUCAAGAGUACCAAGUGA
rnacentral:rRNA from 1 species